ensembl:snoRNA SNORD26 Small nucleolar RNA SNORD26
CUACGGGGAUGAUACUUAAAUUGAACUCUCUCUUUCUGAUGGAUAGUGGAGAAAACAUAAGAAUUCUGAGUAGC